UAUUAAAACAUUUCAUCCAUUUUUACCAUUAAAAACUGGCAUGAUUGACGAAAUAACCAGAAAGUUACAUGUAGUGUGCCAUGUGCACCUCAUGCUAACGUACAAGGACUAGUUUUUAACAGUAGAAAUGGAUGAAAGUUUUAACA
rfam:Gossypium raimondii Chr10_contig_449, whole genome shotgun sequence.